AGUGAACGCUGGCGGUAUGCCUAACACAUGCCAGUCGAACGACAGCACAGGAAGAGCUUGCUCUUGCGGGUGGCGAGUGGCGGACGGGUGAGGAAUGCAUCGGAUACUACUUUUUCGGGGGUGAUAACGUAGGGAAACUUACGCUAAUACCGCAUACAACCUACGGGGUAAAGCAGGGGAUCUUCGGACCUUUCGCGAUUGAAUGAGCCGAUGUCGGAUUAGCUAGUUGGCGGGGUAAAGGCCCACCAAGGCGACGAUGCGUAGCUGAUCUGAGAGGAUGGAUAGCCAACAUGGAACUGAGAACGGGCCCAGACUCCUAAGGGGGGACGCGGUGGGGAAUACUGGAGAAUGGGGCAAAGCCUGAUCCAGGAAUACCGGCUGGAUGAAGAAGGAGUUAGGGUUGUAAAGUCCUUUUGUUGAGAAAGAAAAGAAGCAAGUUAAUACCCCGCUGUUCUGACGGUACCCAAAGAAUAAGCACCGGCUAACUUCGUG
rnacentral:rRNA from 1 species